rnacentral:rRNA from 1 species
CCUACGGGGGACAGCAGUGAGGAAUAUUGGUCAAUGGACGAGAGUCUGAACCAGCCAAGUAGCGUGAAGGAUGACUGCCCUAUGGGUUGUAAACUUCUUUUAUAAAGGAAUAAAACGAGGCACGUGUGCCUCUUUGCAUGUACUUUAUGAAUAAGGAUCGGCUAACUCCGUGCCAGCAGCCGCGGUAAUACGGCGGAUCCGAGCGUUAUCCGGAUUUAUUGGGUUUAAAGGGAGCGUAGAUGGGUUGUUAAGUCAGUUGUGAAAGUUUGCGGCUCAACCGUAAAAUUGCAAUUGAUACUGGCAGUCUUGAGUACAGUUGAGGUAGGCGGAAUGCGUGGUGUAGCGGUGAAAUGCUUAGAUAUCACGAAGAACUCCGAUUGCGAAGGCAGCUUACUAAACUGCCACUGACAUUGAUGCUCGAAAGUGUGGGUAUCAAACAGGAUUAGAUACCCCUGUAGUC